UGCCGGGUGGUGCAGUGGUAGCACAGCUGACUCUGGAUCAGUUGGUCGGAGGUUCGAAUCCUUCCCCGGCAG
rnacentral:tRNA from 2 species